rnacentral:rRNA from 1 species
AUUGAACGCUGGCGGAAUGCUUUACACAUGCAAGUCGAACGGCAGCACGGACUUCGGUCUGGUGGCGAGUGGCGAACGGGUGAGUAAUGUAUCGGAACGUGCCCAGUCGUGGGGGAUAACGUAGUGAAAAUUACGCUAAUACCGCAUACGAUCUAUGGGUGAAAGCGGGGGAUCGCAAGACCUCGCGCGAUUGGAGCGGCCAAUAUCAGAUUAGGUAGUUGGUGGGGUAAAGGCCCACCAAGCCAACGAUCUGUAUCUGGUCUGAGAGGACGACCAGCCAGACUGGAACUGAGACACGGUCCAGACUCCUACGGGAGGCAGCAGUGGGGAAUUUUGGACAAUGGGCGAAAGCCUGAUCCAGCCAUUCCGCGUGCAGGAUGAAGGCCCUCGGGUUGUAAACUGCUUUUGUACAGAACGAAAAGGUUUCUACUAAUACUAGGAGCUCAUGACGGUACUGUAAGAAUAAGCACCGGCUAACUACGUGCCAGCAGCCGCCGUAA